CUCAGGAUGAACGCUAGCGGCAGGCUUAACACAUGCAAGUCGAGGGGCAGCGGGGAGGAAGCUUGCUUUCUCCGCCGGCGACCGGCGCACGGGUGAGUAACACGUAUGCAACCUGCCCCUGUCAGGGGGACAACCCGCCGAAAGGCGGGCUAAACCCGCGUACAUGCCACCGGGGCAUCCCGGAGGCAGGAAAGGCUUCGGCCGGACAGGGAUGGGCAUGCGGCGCAUUAGGCAGUAGGCGGGGUAACGGCCCACCUAACCGACGAUGCGUAGGGGUUCUGAGAGGAAGGUCCCCCACACUGGUACUGAGACACGGACCAGACUCCUACGGGAGGCAGCAGUGAGGAAUAUUGGUCAAUGGUCGGGAGACUGAACCAGCCAAGCCGCGUGAGGGAUGAAGGUACAGAGUAUCGUAAACCUCUUUUGUCAGGGAACAAAGGCGGGGACGUGUCCCCGGAUGAGUGUACCUGAAGAAAAAGCAUCGGCUAACUCCGUGCCAGCAGCCGCGGUAAUACGGAGGAUGCGAGCGUUAUCCGGAUUUAUUGGGUUUAAAGGGUGCGCAGGCGGUCUGUUAAGUCAGCGGUCAAAGCCCGGGGCUCAACCCCGGCCCGCCGUUGAAACUGGCAGUCUCGAGUUGGAGAGAAGUAUGCGGAAUGCGCGGUGUAGCGGUGAAAUGCAUAGAUAUCGCGCAGAACUCCGAUUGCGAAGGCAGCAUGCCGGCUCCACACUGACGCUGAGGCACGAAAGCGUGGGUAUCGAACAGGAUUAGAUACCCUGGUAGUCCACGCAGUAAACGAUGAAUGCUGGCUGUCCGGGGGGGAUUGACCCCUGGGUGGCGAAGCGAAAGCGAUAAGCUUCCACCUGGGGAGUACGCCGGCAACGGUGAAACUCAAAGGAAUUGACGGGCGCCCGCACAAGCGGAGGAACAUGUGGUUUAAUUCGAUGAUACGCGAGGAACCUUACCCGGGCUCAAACGGGGAGUGACUCAGGCAGAGACGCCUGUUUCCCACGGGACACUCCCCGAGGUGCUGCAUGGUUGUCGUCAGCUCGUGCCGUGAGGUGUCAGCUUAAGUGCCAUAACGAGCGCAACCCCCGCGUGCAGUUGCUAACAGAUAACGCUGAGGACUCUGCACGGACUGCCGGCGCAAGCCGCGAGGAAGGCGGGGAUGACGUCAAAUCAGCACGGCCCUUACGUCCGGGGCGACACACGUGUUACAAUGGGUGGUACAGCGGGAAGCCAGGCGGCGACGCCGAGCGGAACCCGAAAUCCACUCUCAGUUCGGAUCGGAGUCUGCAACCCGACUCCGUGAAGCUGGAUUCGCUAGUAAUCGCGCAUCAGCCAUGGCGCGGUGAAUACGUUCCCGGGCCUUGUACACACCGCCCGUCAAGCCAUGGGAGCCGAGGGCGCUUGAAGUGCGUCGCCGCGAGGCGCGCCCUAGAGCGAAAUCGGUGACUGGGGCUAAGUCGUAACAAGGUA
rnacentral:rRNA from 1 species